UCCAUCUUAUCUUCUUAUAAUCAGUGUCUACCAGGUGGUCAGUCUUUUGGAUUUUUGCCAGUCUGAUGGGUGAGAAGUGGUCCCUCAGUGUACACUGGACCCUUGAACACAGCACAGAGGUUCAGGAUGCUGACCCUCCACGUAUAACUUUGUCUCCCCCUCACCCCCGAACUUAACUCCUAAUAGCCUACCGUCAACCGAUAUCAGACACCUUAUCGAUAACAUAAGCCAUUGAUUAACACAUAUUUGUGUGUUAUAUGUACUGUAUACGUUCUUCUUACAGUAAGUAAGCUGGAGAAAAGAAAAUGUAUGGAGAAAAUCAUAAGGAAAGGAAUUUACAUUCACAGAGUGUACGGCAUUUAUUGAAAAAAAAAAAAGAACCCUGUGUAUUGAUGCCCAGAAGUAGACUCGCUGGAUCACGUGGAGCUCUAUGGGAAGCCUUAGGUGGACCAAGAAACGACAAGGCAGAUCGUUCUGAUGGGGCUGUGAGCUGCCUGGUCCCCUCGUGCCAUCAUGCCCACGUGUCCUGAGGACACCACUUGACCCCUCCCUGGGCCUGUCUGCAGUGUGGGGUCUGUCCUUUGAAAACCAUCACUGGUGUGCUGGCUUCUCCUCCCUUCUCAUGGGUGGAGUCUCUGAGCAGAAUGGCUGUAACUCUCAUGAGACUGUCUAAUUUGUGACCUCAGGAAAGAGACACUAAACCAUCCUGCCUGCGGGCGCCGUGCAAGUGCUGGGGACACAGAUGUGAGGAAAACCAUUGUGUCGUGCUCACAGCACCAGCAUCCUGUGGGGUGAGGGGAUGUGCAAGGACAGCGAUCAAAUAACAGAGCUGCCAGUGGCGCCUGGAGGGCUCAGCCGGUUGAGUGUCCGACUUCAGCUCAGGCCAUGAUCUCACAGCUCAGGUCAUG